GAUGAACGCUGGCGGCGUGCCUAAUACAUGCAAGUCGAGCGAACGGACGAGAAGCUUGCUUCUCUGAUGUUAGCGGCGGACGGGUGAGUAACACGUGGAUAACCUACCUAUAAGACUGGGAUAACUUCGGGAAACCGGAGCUAAUACCGGAUGAUAUUUUGAACCGCAUGGUUCAAAAGUGAAAGACGGUCUUGCUGUCACUUAUAGAUGGAUCCGCGCUGCAUUAGCUAGUUGGUAAGGUAACGGCUUACCAAGGCAACGAUGCAUAGCCGACCUGAGAGGGUGAUCGGCCACACUGGAACUGAGACACGGUCCAGACUCCUACGGGAGGCAGCAGUAGGGAAUCGUACGCAAUGGGCGAAAGCCUGACGGAGCAACGCCGCGUGAGUGAUGAAGGUCUUCGGAUCGUAAAACUCUGUUAUUAGGGAAGAACAUAUGUGUAAGUAACUGUGCACAUCUUGACGGUACCUAAUCAGAAAGCCACGGCUAACUACGUG
rnacentral:rRNA from 1 species